UGGCGACCGGCGCACGGGUGAGUAACGCGUAUGCAACUUACCUAUCAGAGGGGGAUAGCCCGGCGAAAGUCGGAUUAAUACCCCAUGAAACAGGGGUCCCGCAUGGGGAUAUUUGUUAAAGAUUCAUCGCUGAUAGAUAGGCAUGCGUUCCAUUAGGCAGUUGGCGGGGUAACGGCCCACCAAACCGACGAUGGAUAGGGGUUCUGAGAGGAAGGUCCCCCACAUUGGUACUGAGACACGGACCAA
rnacentral:rRNA from 1 species